UAGUGGUUGAAAGAACUAUCAAGAUGUAAUACUUCCGGUAAGAAUUUUUUAUCUAUGAAUAAUGAGAAUGACAUGGGAAGGAAGGCACCACUAACAUUCAAACUUCACGAGGAUGCUUCUGAAUAUCCUUAGGUGGAUGGUGAAAUUCAUGGGACUCCAUCUUGGUACACUAGUUAAAGUAAGAUGAAGUAUGCUUACCAGGAUACGGG
rnacentral:lncRNA from 1 species